rnacentral:rRNA from 1 species
AUUGAACGCUGGCGGCAGGCCUAACACAUGCAAGUCGAGCGAGCGGCGGACGGGUGAGUAAUGUAUGGGGACUGCCCGAUAGAGGGGGAUAACUACUGGAAACGGUAUCUCAUACCGCAUACUAUCGGAUAACCCAUAUGGGAUUAGCUAGUAUGUGAGGUAAUGGCUCACCUAGGCGACGAGCCCUAGCUGGUUUGAGAGGAUGAUCAGCCACACUGGGACUGAGACACGGCCCAGACUCCUACGGAGGCAGCAGUGGGGAAUAUUGCACAAUGGGCGCAAGCCUGAUGCAGCCAUGCCGCGUGUAUGAAGAAGGCCCUAGGGUUGUAAAGUACUUUCAGUCGGGAGGCGUUACCGACAGAAGAAGCACCGGCUAACUCCGUGCCAGCCGCCGCGGUAAUAC